rnacentral:lncRNA from 10 species
GGGUGAUUUAUAAGGGUUCACUUGGUUUAUGGUUCUGAACACUGGGAAAGUGAGGGGCCUGCAUCUGGUGAAGGUCUCGCUGUGUUGUCCUAUGCUGGAAGGUAAAAGGGCAAGAGAGUGACCACAUGUGAGAGGGAGAAGGGGAAAGACAGAAAGGGAGGAAGCCAACCUCAUCCUUUUAUCAGGAACCCCCUCCCAAGAUAACUAACCCACCCUACCUUCAUCCAUUCAUGAGGGCAGAGCCUUCAUGACCUAAUCACCUCUUAAAGGUUCCACUGAUCAACACUGUUGCAUUAGGGGUUGAGUUUCCAACACAUGAACUUUGGGGAACACAUUCAAACCACAGCAGUCCUCAUGUAAACCUUCCAGAAAAUCUGUGUGCCUGGCACUCUGGAAUCCCUCUUUUCCACCCUUUCUCUUUUUUUCUUUUUUUGAGACAGAGUUUUGCUUUUGUUAACCAGGCUGGAGUGCAAUGGUGCGAUCUUGGCUUACUGCAGGCUCCACCUCCCAGUUCAAGUGAUUCUCCUGUCUCAGUCUCCCAAAUAGCUGGGGUUACACGCAUGCACCACCACACCCAGCUAAUUUGUAUUUUUAGUAAAGAUGGGGUUUCUCCGUGUUGGUCAGGCUGGUCUUGAACUCCUGACCUCAGGUGAUCCGCCCGCCUUGGCCUCCCAAAGUGCUGAGAUUACAGGCAUGAGCCACCGCACCUGGUCUUUCCGCCCCUUCUCACUGCAACUCUAACAUUGUGUUCCCUCAUCAUUUUCCAUUCGAGCACAGGAAAGAACACAAUCACUACACCCAUUUCUUAUGAACCUUUCUGACAUUAAAAUAAUUCUAUCACUCACAUAGAAAUUUGUAAAAAUAAAUUUUCAUUUUUGAUACGAGCGAGUAUGAUUUUUUUUUUUUUUUUUUGAGGAGUUUUGCUCUGUGGGCCAGGCUGGAGUGAAGUGGCAAGAUCACGGCUCACUGCAACCUCUGCCUCCGGGUUCAAGCGAUUCUCCUGCCUCAGCCUCCCAAGUAGCUGGGAUUACAGGCCUGCACCACUACACGAAUAAUUUUGUAUUUUUAGUAGAGACGGGGUUUUGCCAUGUUGGCCAGGAUGGUCUCAAACCCCUGACCUCAGGUGAUCUGCCCGCCUCGGCCUCCCAAAGUGCUGGGAAAACAGGUAUGAGCCACUAUGCCUGCCCCUGAAUAUGAAAUUCCGUAUUAGUUUAAUGAAAUCUCUAAAAUAUAUAGAAAAUAAAAAUAAUUACCAAAAAUGUUCAAUGAUGCAAAGCAACACACAGUGAGAUAUUACAUCCUAAAACAUAUAGACCUGUCAUUUAAAAAUCAAGUAGAAACAUAAGGGGCUCUAUACACACCUUUUGAAAUAAGUUUCCUGGCCAGGGAAAAUGGCUCAUGCCUGUAAUACCAGCAUUUUGGGAGGCCGAGGUGGGCGGAUCACCUGAGGUCAGGAGUUCAAAACCAGCCUGGCCAACAUGGUGAAACUCUGUCUCUACUAAAAAUACAAAAAUUAGCUGGGCAUGGUGGUGGGCACCUGUAAUCCCAGCUACUCGAGAGGCUGAGGCAGGGAGAACUGCUUGGACCCAGGAGGCAGAGGUUGCAGGGAUCCGAGACCUGCCAUUGUACUCCAGCCUGGGAGACAGAGCAAGACUUCAUCUCGAAAAAAAAAAAAUUAUAAUAAUAAAAUAAAAUAAGCUGUCUAGGUUGUGCAUGGUGGCCCACCCUUGUAAUCCCAGCACUUUGGGAGGCUGAGGCGGGCAGAUCACUUGAGGUCAAGAGUUCAAGACCAGGCUAGCCAAAAUGGCAAAACUCUGGCUCUACUAAAAAGACAAAAAUUAGCCAGGCAUGGUGGUGCACAUCUGUAAUCCCGGGUACUCGGGAGGCUGAGGCAGGAGAAUCACUUGAAUCUGGAAGGCAGAGUUUGUAGUGAGAUGAGAUCACGCCACUGCACUCCAGUCUGGGCGACAGAGCGAGACUACAACUCAAAAAAAAAAAAAAAAAAAAAGCUUUCUAAUUUAACUUUAGAAUUUGAAAUUCUUUCAAGAAAGAGGUACUCAAAAAACAUGAAAAGUAUGUGAGUCACUAAUGUAUCAAAGAAAACAAUCAUUCUUGUAUUGCAAAUAAAUACCCAACCAAGACAAAAAGGCACGUCACAUGUUAUGGGAAAAGACUGAAAUGAGGGUGAGAGGAAAACUGUGACCCUUGAAUGUAAGACAGAAAAAAAUCAGGCAGGAUGUUAAGGAAUUGGAAAUAAUUCUCCAUAUUAAAGGAUUACAAGAGACAGGAAGAGAGGAGGGACACGAUAGUCACAGACUGCAGGGGUGUGGGGUAGAUGGGAAUAAAGGAGGCAGAGAGAGCAGUGGGGAUGUACAUAAAAUCACCCUCCAGAGCUGUGCUGUCCAAUAAGGCAGGCACUUGCCACAUGUGGCUGCUGAGCACUUGAAAGAUGGCUAGUCCAACCUGAGAAAUGCUGUAAGUGGAAAACACAUUUUAAAAAAAUUCUGAAUACUCAGUAUAAAAGAAAGAAUGGGCCAGUGUGGUGGCUCACAUCUGUAAUCCCAGCACUUUGGAAGGCCAAGACAGGAGGACUGCUUGAGCCAGGAAUUUGAGACCGGUCUGGGCAACAUAGCAAGACCUCAUCUCUUCAGAAAAAAAAAAUCAGGCCAAGUGCAGUGGCUCACGCGUGUAAUCCCAGCACUUUGGGAGGCCAAGGUGGGUGGAUCACUUGAGCUCUGGAGUUCAAGACCAGCCUGGACAACAUGCUGAAACCCUGUCUUAACAAAAAAAUACAAAAAUUAUUCAGGCGUGGUGGCACAUGUUUGUGGUCCCAGCUACUUGGGAGGCUGAGGUGGGAGGAUCAUUUCGGCCCCAGAUAUCGAGGCUGCAGUGAGUCAAGAUUGUGCUACUGCACUCCAGCCCGGCUGACAGAGUGAGACCCAGCCUUUAAAAAAAAAAAAUUAGCAUGGCAUGGUGGUGUGUGCCUGUAGUCCAAACUACCUGGAAGGCUGAGGUAGGAGGAUCUCUUGAGCCCAGGAGUUUGAGACUGCAGUGAGCUAUGCUGGUGCCACUGCAUUCCAGCCUGGGCAACAAAGCAAGACCCUGUCUCAAAAAAAAAAAAAGUAAAUGAUUUCAUUAAUAAUUUUUAUUUUGAUAAGAUGUUGAAGUGAUAUUUUGGAUAAUGCUAACAUUUUAGGUGAAAUAAAACAUUAAUUUCACCUGUUUCUUUUUAACUUUUCUAAAGUGACUACUAGAAAAUCUAAAAUGACGUAUGUGUCUGGCAUUGUAUUUCUAUUGGAAAGCACUGCUCUGGAGAGAAAUGGUCUCUAGGGAGGCAGAAACAUGAGAAACACAAGAGAGGUGGAUGGAGGGAAGUGACAGACACAUCUGGUGGGUACCUUCAGGUGUUGACAGCAGGAACCCAGGAGAUUCAGCAGGGGGACAGGCCCCCAUCUAUGCACAGCAGGAGAGUAGCAUGGCUGAUGCUAGGGGUGCUAAGCUGACAUACAGAAGUAUUCAGCUUUAUAAACGUGAAAAACACACCGGUAAGUCACAUCCCACAGAACAAAUCAUAAUAGAAAUGAAAAAACACUAAGGAACAAAUGAAAUGAUAUAUAAAUAUCCAGUACAAAAACUAGCUGGCUUAAGAGACAGGCCCCUUCUCUCCAAUAUAAGUUCAAAUUAUAAGAGAAAUGAGGGUCCAAAUCAAAAAGCCAAGAUUGCUGUGAUGGUUCAUUUUGAAGCAGGAACGUCAAUUCCAUGCUGGGGUUGAAGGUGCCCUCUACUGUUCCCGCUGUUCUUUGCCCUUUUUGAGGAAAACUGCCUUUCCUGUUAAGUUAGAAAUCUGUAGCAGAGAGAAGACUGAGGAAAAACCAAAUUUGGGUAUUUAAGAAACUAAAGUUCAAAAUUACCUGCUAAAGAGAAUGAAUGUCGAAGGAAAAUAUAAAAUACUUCUUCAUGAACAGUAAAGAAAAUUCUAACAACCAAAACUUUUGUAAUUAGGGUAACAGAAAUGGCAGUUUAAUCCUCCUGAAGGAAUUUUAAUUUCUCACUAACAGUACUUCAAAGCUAGGCGUAGAAAAUUAUUUUUAUAGCUUUUCACAAGCAUUAAAGCUAAAAAUCCAAAAUCAGGUCUUUCUCUGAUAGGAAUUUCUAAAAACAGAAGAAGCCUACAGGACUUUAACCUGGAAGCUACUCCGGGAAUCGGGAAUGUUUCCUCAGGGCACAGCUACAACUGAAACUUGUCAGGAAUUUCAAAAAAAAACAAAACAGACAACUUUGGGAUACGGCUGGAGGUCUACAGAUGGGUCAUUUUAUAUCCUGAGGUCUGAACAAGAUGAUUAUAGCCCCUUAAAAUGAUGUACACAAAAGGAGAAUAAAUUGGAAGAGAGCACAGAUGAGUGGUUUAUAGGGAGGACCUGCUUUUUUUCCUCUAGUUUUCAGGUCUCCUCGUUGCUGAGGGAUCCAGCCCCAGCUCUAGACCAAGAAAUGGGAAGAUUUUAGAGUGACUAGUGAUCUAUCAUCUACAAUUAUUAAACAUUCUCAGCAGUUUAUGCAAAAAAUAACAAAACCACUGCAGAUAACUAAGACUAGGUAAUACAUAUAAUGUUUCCCAAAUACCUACCCACAAGCUGAACAAUUUUU